rnacentral:rRNA from 1 species
GUGAGGAAUAUUGGUCAAUGGAGGCAACUCUGAACCAGCCAAGUAGCGUGCAGGAUGACGGCCCUAUGGGUUGUAAACUGCUUUUAUGCGGGGAUAAACUGACUCACGUGUGGGUCAUUGCAGGUACCGCAUGAAUAAGGACCGGCUAAUUCCGUGCCAGCAGCCGCGGUAAUACGGAAGGUUCGGGCGUUAUCCGGAUUUAUUGGGUUUAAAGGGAGCGUAGGCCGUUGUUUAAGCGUGUUGUGAAAUGUCCCGGCUCAACCGUGGCACUGCAGCGCGAACUGGACGACUUGAGUGCGCGGAACGUAUGCGGAAUUUGUGGUGUAGCGGUGAAAUGCUUAGAUAUCACGAAGAACUCCGAUUGCGAAGGCAGCAUACGGCAGCGCUACUGACGCUGAAGCUCGAAAGCGCGGGUAUCGAACAGGAUUAGAAACCCUAGUAGUCC